rnacentral:rRNA from 1 species
UACGUAGGUGGCAAGCGUUGUCCGGAUUUACUGGGCGUAAAGAGCGCGCAGGCGGUUGGUCAAGUCGCGUGUGAAAGCCCCCGGCUCAACUGGGGAGGGUCACGCGAUACUGGUCGACUCGAAGGCAGGAGAGGGUAGUGGAAUUCCCGGUGUAGUGGUGAAAUUCGUAGAUAUCGGGAGGAACACCGGUGGCGAAGGCGGCGACCUGGGACAAUACUGACGCUGAGGUGCGAAAGCGUGGGGAGCAAACAGG